UGUAAGCGUAUACCAAAGUUGUUGCAGUUAAAAAGCUCGUAGUUGGAUUUCGGUUAAGAGCGACCGGUCCGCCGUUUGGUGUGCACUGGUUGGUUUUAACUUCCUGUAGAGGACGUGCUCUGGGUUUAACGACCUGGACUCGGAGUCUACGUGGUUACUUUGAAAAAAUUAGAGUGUUCAAAGCGGGCUUACGCUUGAAUAUUUCAGCAUGGAAUAACACUAUAGGACUCCUGUCCUAUUUCGUUGGUCUCGGGACGGGAGUAAUGAUUAAGAGGAACAGUUGGGGGCAUUCGUAUUUCAUUGUCAGAGGUGAAAUUCUUGGAUUUAUGAAAGACGAACUUCUGCGAAAGCAUUUGCCAAGGAUGUUUUCAUUAA
rnacentral:rRNA from 1 species